AUGUUUCAGAAUCUUUUUUUAUUGACGAUAACAUAUGUAAAGUGUCAGCUGGUCAGCGACUGUUUUGCUUCAAGGUAGUAAAUUAGUAUAUUGAAGCAGUCCACUUAAUUAACAGCAGUUAUAUAUUAUGUAUAUAAAACUACCAGACAUUGGGACAUUAUUUGCUUUAAAUUUUUUGGCGGCAAUUGUUGGGGUAGUUUAAAGAAAUCACCGGUGGAGACAAUUUUGAUUGAAACAAAAAGAAAGUAUGCAGACCAUAGUACUUGCAGUUUUGAUGGUAACAUGUUUAAUAGGUAAACAGGAAGUGCAUGUUGACGCAGCAAUGGUAUACAUGACCCCAAAUCAAUGUGCAAUAAACACUGCCGCAAUUGGAUGCAAACCAAGGAGACAUUUCAGUUCUGAAAACUCUGAUAAUUCUGAUGAUUCUCACGAUUCACACGAUUUUCAUGAUUCUGACAUAUCAGAUAGAUAUAGAAAAGUUAUGUCAAAGGGUGACCGGAAUUGUCAGGAUUGUUGUAGAAGGUCUGGUUGUCGGGGUGGCGGUUGUGUUGGUAGAACCUGUCGAUGUAGACAAUGUAAAUAACAUGAAAAAU